rnacentral:tRNA from 1 species
CGGGGUGUGGCGCAGUCCGGUAGCGCGCUAGUUUUGGGAACUAGAUGUCGGAGGUUCAAAUCCUCUCACCCCGA